AUGAGUGGCGAACGGGUGAGUAACACGUGAGUAACCUGCCCUCUUCUUUGGGAUAACGCCCGGAAACGGGUGCUAAUACUGGAUAUUCAUUGAUCUUCGCAUGGGGGUUGGUGGAAAGGUUUUUUCUGGUGGGGGAUGGGCCCGCGGCCUAUCAGCUUGUUGGUGGGGUGAUGGCCUACCAAGGCUUUGACGGGUAGCCGGCCUGAGAGGGUGACCGGUCACAUUGGGACUGAGAUACGGCCCAG
rnacentral:rRNA from 1 species